GGGGCUGUAGCUCAGUGGUAGAGCACUUGCCUAGCAUGUGUGAGCAUUGAGUUGGAUUCUCAGCAUCUCA
rnacentral:tRNA from 1 species